CCUACGGGGGGCUGCAGUGGGGAAUUUUGGACAAUGGGGGCAACCCUGAUCCAGCCAUGCCGCGUGCGGGAAGAAGGCCUUCGGGUUGUAAACCGCUUUUGUCAGGAGAGAAAUCUCUUGGGCUAAUACCCUGAGAGGAUGACGGUACCUGAAGAAUAAGCACCGGCUAACUACGUGCCAGCAGCCGCGGUAAUACGUAGGGUGCAAGCGUGAAUCGGAGUGACUGGGCGCAGAGGUUGCGCAGGCGGUUGAAAUCCCCGGGCUUAACCUGGGAACUGAACUUUUGACUGCACGGCUAGAGUACGGCAGAGGGGGAUGGAAUUCCGCGUGUAGCAGUGAAAUGCGUAGAUAUGCGGAGGAACACCGAUGGCGAAGGCAGUCCCCUGGGCCUGUACUGACGCUCAUGCACGAAAGCGUGGGGAGCAAACAGGAUUAGAUACCCGAGUAGUC
rnacentral:rRNA from 1 species